rnacentral:tRNA from 1 species
AUUACUUUGGCAGAAGGAAGUGUAUUAAAUUUAGAAUUUAAAAUAAUAUAUAAGUUUAAAUUAGUUAUAUAGGUAAUA